GGAGGCGCUCAAAGGUUCCCUCAGAAUGGUUGGAAAUCAUUCGCAGAGUGUAAAGGCACAAGGGAGCUUGACUGCGAGACCUACAAGUCGAGCAGGGUCGAAAGACGGACUUAGUGAUCCGGUGGUUCCGCAUGGAAGGGCCAUCGCUCAACGGAUAAAAGCUACCCCGGGGAUAACAGGCUUAUCUCCCCCAAGAGUUCACAUCGACGGGGAGGUUUGGCACCUCGAUGUCGGCUCAUCGCAUCCUGGGGCUGUAGUCGGUCCCAAGGGUUGGGCUGUUCGCCCAUUAAAGCGGUACGCGAGCUGGGUUCAGAACGUCGUGAGACAGUUCGGUCCCUAUCCGUCGUGGGCGUAGGAAAUUUGAGAGGAGCUGUCCUUAGUACGAGAGGACCGGGAUGGACAUACCUCUGGUGUACCAGUUGUCGCGCCAGCGGCAUAGCUGGGUAGCUAUGUAUGGACGGGAUAAGUGCUGAAAGCAUCUAAGCAUGAAGCCCCCCUCAAGAUGAGAUUUCCCAACUUCGGUUAUAAGAUCCCUCAAAGAUGAUGAGGUUAAUAGGUUCGGGGUGUAAGCGCAGUAAUGUGUGUAGCUGACGAAUACUAAUCGAUCGAAGACUUAAUCAA
rnacentral:rRNA from 1 species